UGGGGAAUAUUGCGCAAUGGGCGAAAGCCUGACGCAGCAACGCCGCGUGAGGGAUGACGGCCUUCGGGUUGUAAACCUCUUUCAGCAGGGACGAAGCGCAAGUGACUGUACCUGCAGAAGAAGCGCCGGCUAACUACGUGCCAGCAGCCGCGGUAAUACGUAGGGCGCAAGCGUUGUCCGGGUUUAUUGGGCGUAAAGAGUUCGUAGGCGGUCUGUCGCGUCGGAAGUGAAAACCCGGAGCUCAACUCCGGGCAUGCGUUCGAUACGGGCAGACUUGAGUGUUGCAGGGGAGACUGGAAUUCCUGGUGUAGCGGUGGAAUGCGCAGAUAUCAGGAGGAACACCGGUGGCGAAGGCGGGUCUCUGGGCAACAACUGACGCUGAGGAACGAAAGCGUGGGGAGCGAACA
rnacentral:rRNA from 1 species